rfam:Gossypium hirsutum cultivar TM-1 unplaced genomic scaffold scaffold2309.1, whole genome shotgun sequence
UGUUAAAAAUUUCAUCCAUUUUUACUGUUGAAAAUUUGUGUGACUAACGAAAUAACUAGAUAGUUUAAUGUAAUGUGCCACGUAUAUCUCAUACUAAGGUCCAAAUACCGAUUUUUAAUAGUAAAAAUGGAUAGAAUUUUUAAUA